rnacentral:rRNA from 1 species
CUAACACAUGCAGUCGAGCGGUAGAGAGAAGCUUGCUUCUCUUGAGAAGCGGCGGACGGGUGAGUAAUGCCUAGGAAUCUGCCUGGUAGUGGGGGAUAACGUUCGGAAACGGACGCUAAUACCGCAUACGUCCUACGGGAGAAAGCAGGGGACCUUCGGGCCUUGCGCUAUCAGAUGAGCCUAGGUCGGAUUAGCUAGUUGGUGAGGUAAUGGCUCACCAAGGCGACGAUCCGUAACUGGUCUGAGAGGAUGAUCAGUCACACUGGAACUGAGACACGGUCCAGACUCCUACGGGAGGCAGCAGUGGGGAAUAUUGGACAAUGGGCGAAAGCCUGAUCCAGCCAUGCCGCGUGUGUGAAGAAGGUCUUCGGAUUGUAAAGCACUUUAAGUUGGGAGGAAGGGCAUUAACCUAACACGUUAGUGUUUUGACGUUACCGACAGAAUAAGCACCGGCUAACUCUGUGCCAGCAGCCGCGGUAAUACAGAGGGUGCAAGCGUUAAUCGGAAUUACUGGGCGUAAAGCGCGCGUAGGUGGU